AACCCCACUCUAAAACCUAAACACAAAAAUCCACAAGAUUUUAAUUUUUCAUUUUUUUUUAUUUUCAUGGAUUUAACAGAUUCAUUAAUUUUUAAUAGUAGUGUUCGUGCUAGUGACGUUGAUGGAUCUGAUAAUUUUUCUUCUAAUCUACUGGUUCAGAUCUGAAGUGCUAUAGUUCUAGAGAUGUUUGAUUUUUUGGGCAUUUUCCCCUAUUUUCAGUGGAAAAGUAUAGGGUCACAAAUAAAGGCGUACGGGCUGUGCCUUUCACCAGCAAUAUGCAUUUCUCGGUCAGAUUCUGCGUACUACCUGAUAAUUUUAUCUUGGGCAGCUGUUUUCGCUGAAGCUGAAUUAUCACAUCAUAAGUCAGGAGUAAUUUUAGGUGCACCACUUGAGGCUCCUCCAAAGUACCAUUCAGGAACCCCACAUGUUGGAUCCGAUCUGCCUCUUCCUGCAAACAUUCCCCAUAAUACCUUUCCACCAUUCCAUCGAAGACAUAGGAGACAUUUUAAGCCAGAUAUUUCAUUCCCACCAGCUUUAGUUCCAUCUCAACCACCAGGUUAUGGUUCGUUAACUACUUCCUCUCAUCCACCAUCAACUUAUUCGUAUUUAUCUAAACCAUCGAUGCGGAGCAAUCCGCAGUCAGCCGCCCCUAGUUCAGGCUUGUUAUCUCCCCCAUCUGAUGGCCUUGUUCCAAAGUCAUCCAACUUUGGUUCUAUUGCUUCUGGGUUGGCACCACCACCCCUAUCUCCUCAUGUAUCUGGUUGCUGUGGAUCAGAUAUGAUGCAGAGAAGGGACAAUGAAACUUGUGAUUGUGUAUAUCCAAUACGGCUUGAGCUGCUUCUUUCAAAUGUUUCACUGAAUUCAAAUUUGAGCUCAAUCCAAGAAGAUUUUGCUUCGCAACUUGGUCUGCAAGUAUCUCAGUUUGAGCUCAUCUAUUUUUAUAUUGUUGGGCUAACUGGACUGAAUAUGUCCAUGGAUAUUAUUCCAUUGACUGGGGUUAGUUUCUCUAGCAAUGAGGCAUACCGGAUUAAUUAUACUCUUACUACUCAUAGAGUUGAGCUUAAUCAUUCAUUAGUUGGAGACUAUGAGGUCCUCAAUUUUACCUGGUUUAAGCCCCCAGCCCCUGCUCCUGAGACUGCAGCCCCACCAGUUAUGUCACCUCAAGCUGCUACUCCUAUAUCUGCUGGGGUCUCAUAUUCUUCUUCCAAAAGGGUGAAACAUCCUAGUUUGGUUCUUCUUAUUGGCAUAGGAUCUGGUAUCCUAAUAAUUUUCAUUGUAUCUGUGGUAGUUAUUUGUUCAUGCACAUCUGGUCAACGGAAGAAAGAAGCCCCGCCCAUACAAACUGCAAAGCAAAAGACUGCCGAUGCAGUUUCAAAUGAUGGGUCUCUUCCUCAUCCGACUAGUACAAGGGUUUUUGCAUAUGAAGAGCUAAAAGAGGCAACAAAUAAUUUUGAACCUGCAAGCAUGCUUGGGGAGGGUGGGUUUGGCCGGGUCUUCAAAGGUGUGUUGAGUGAUGGCACAGCUGUUGCUAUCAAGAAGCUCUCAAGUGGGGGCCAUCAAGGGGAUAAAGAAUUCUUGGUUGAAGUUGAGAUGCUCAGUAGGCUACACCAUCGAAACCUUGUGAAACUUGUGGGUUACUAUAGUAGUCGUGAUUCUUCACAGCACCUGCUGUGCUAUGAACUUGUCCCAAAUGGAAGCUUGGAAUCCUGGCUGCAUGGUCCUGUCGGAGCGAAUCGCCCUUUGGAUUGGGAUACUAGAAUGAAAAUUGCUCUUGAUGCUGCCAGAGGGCUUGCAUACCUUCAUGAAGAUUCCCAGCCUUGCGUGAUCCACAGAGAUUUCAAGGCAUCUAAUAUUUUACUGGAGCAUAAUUUCCACGCAAAGGUUGCUGAUUUUGGCUUAGCAAAGCAAGCUCCUGAGGGUCGGGGAAACUACUUAUCCACUCGUGUCAUGGGUACAUUUGGUUAUGUGGCUCCUGAAUAUGCUAUGACCGGGCAUCUGCUUGUUAAGAGUGAUGUAUACAGCUAUGGAGUUGUCCUCCUUGAAUUGCUGACUGGGAGGAGACCAGUGGAUAUGACUCAACCUUCAGGGCAGGAGAAUCUCGUUACAGGGGCUCGACCAAUUCUUCGAGAUAAGGACAGGCUCGAACAGCUUGCUGAUCCAAGGCUCAGUGGUAAAUACCCAAAAGAGGAUUUUAUGAGAGUUUGCACUAUCGCAGCAGCUUGUGUGGCCCCUGAGGCAAACCAGCGCCCCACUAUGGGAGAAGUUGUGCAAUCACUAAAAAUGGUGCAAAGAGUCACAGAAUAUCAAGAUACCUUAACAACAUCUAACCGACCCAAUAUUAGACAAUCAUCUACUACAUAUGAAUCUGAUGGGACCUCUUCCAUGUUCUCUUCUGGCCCUUUCUCUGGUCUUAGUGCCUUUGAUAAUGACGCCAUUUCUCGAAAUGCGGUGUUCUCGGAAGACUUACAAGAAGGACGGUAAUUUUCAAAGGUGACCCAGGCCAACUGGAGCCAGUUUGGGCCCUCCUAGUUCUGUACCCAGUUUUGAAUUUUAAAUUGCUGAUCUGGACAGUGCUUGGGUCGCUUAUUUACUUGUUUUAAAUGAUUAUUUACUUACACAACUGAAGGUAAAAAGGUGUUUUGGAUACUUUCCAGAUAUUCCGAUAUUUUUUUUCUUGUUAUUUGGAGAUGGACAAAAUUUGGGUAGGAAUGGGUGCCAAGUUGGGUUUAUAUAUCUACAUUGACAGAACGAGUGCUAUGCAAUUUGAGCUGAACCUCAGAGAAUCAAACUUUGGACCACUCUUAGCCAUUCAGAGUUCCGAGAUUCGUGCAUCAAUUGAUUGCGUGUGGCACCAGCUGCAGUUACAGUAAAGCCAUGGAAAAUUGUAAUAUGAAGACAAUGGUGUUUAUUUUGUAAUCAGGCAGCCAAAAUUGGAGUGUGUCUAUGUAUUUUAUUGGUUUCUUUGUUUUUUUUGGUUUUGAUUUGUUUUCUGUUGGUCUCAGGGGAAUUCUGUUUCCCAAUUUAAAUUUUGCAGUUUUUUUCAGGUUUCUCCAUUGAAAUGUAUUUAUGCGGUUUUUAAAGUCCUGGUUUGGAUUGGGAAUGUAUUUUUUUAGUGGUGGAGUGGUGGUGGUUUCAUUUUUAGCAGCUC